rnacentral:rRNA from 1 species
UCGAGAAUCAUUCGCAAUGGGCGAAAGCCUGACGAUGCGACGCCGUGUGAGCGAUGAAGGCCUUAGGGUCGUAAAGCUCUUUCGCUUGGGAACAAGAGAAGUUGGCUAAUAUCCAGCAAAUUUGAGGGUACCAGGUAAAGAAGCACCGGCUAACUCCGUGCCAGCAGCUGCGGUAAUACGGAGGGUGCAAGCAUUAAUCGGAUUUAUUGGGCGUAAAGGGCGCGUAGGCGGAAUGAUAAGUCAGAUGUGAAAUCCCGGGGCUCAACCUCGGAACAGCAUUUGAAACUGUCACUCUAGAGGAUAGAAGGAGAAAACGGAAUUCCACAAGUAGCGGUGAAAUGCGUAGAUAUGUGGAAGAACACCGGUGGCGAAGGCGGUUUUCUAUUUUAGACCUGACGCUGAGGCGCGAAAGCAAGGGGAUCAAACA